rnacentral:lncRNA from 1 species
ACCCGACCCGGGGAAGGAUCCGCGCGUUUUGGCCUCCGUUGGGCAAUUUGCACAAAUGGUCAUUUCUAUUUUUACAGCGCGUUUAAAUCGAUCCCUUUUUUUUUAAUUUUGCUCUGCAUUUUUGUCAUUGUUGCAUUUCGACCCAGCUUGCAACGCCGCGUUUUGGGGAAGCGGGAUAUUUCCCAAUCGGGCCCCCAUGUAAUACGCGUGUUGCAGCAUGGUCCCCC